rnacentral:rRNA from 1 species
UACGUAGGGUGCAAGCGUUAAUCGGAAUUACUGGGCGUAAAGGGUGCGCAGGUGGUUAUACAAGACUGACGUGAAAUCCCCGGGCUCAACCUGGGAAUGGCGUUGGUGACUGUAUGACUAGAGUGUGGCAGAGGGGGGUGGAAUUCCACGUGUAGCAGUGAAAUGCGUAGAGAUGUGGAGGAACACCGAUGGCGAAGGCAGCCCCCUGGGCUAACACUGACACUCAUGCACGAAAGCGUGGGGAGCAAACAGG